rnacentral:rRNA from 1 species
UAAAAGUGCUGCAAGGCACUGGUAGAGGAUGGACUUAUGGCGCAUUAGCUGGUUGGUGAGGUAACGGCUCACCAAGGCGACGAUGCGUAGCCGACCUGAGAGGGUGACCGGCCACACUGGGACUGAGACACGGCCCAGACUCCUACGGGAGGCAGCAGUAGGGAAUUUUCGGCAAUGGGGGGAACCCUGACCGAGCAACGCCGCGUGAAGGAAGAAGGAAUUCGUUCUGUAAACUUCUGUUAUAAAGGAAGAAAGACGGAUGGAGGAAAUGACAUCCGAGUGACGGUACUUUAUGAGAAAGCCACGGCUAACUACGUGCCAGCAGCCGCGGUAAUACGUAGGUGGCAAGCGUUAUCCGGAAUUAUUGGGCGUAAAGAGGGAGCAGGCGGCAGCAAAGGUCUGUGGUGAAAGACUGAAGCUUAACUUCAGUAAGCCAUAGAAACCGGGCAGCUAGAGUGCAGGAGAGGAUCGUGGAAUUCCAUGUGUAGCGGUGAAAUGCGUAGAUAUAUGGAGGAACACCAGUGGCGAAGGCGACGAUCUGGCCUGCAACUGACGCUCAGUCCCGAAAGCGUGGGGAGCAAAUAGGAUUAGAUACCCUAGUAGUCCACGCC